rnacentral:rRNA from 1 species
UAGAUGCGAGAGUAGAGCAUAUCAAUAAGCGGAGGAAAAGAAACUAACAAGGAUUCCCUUAGUAACGGCGAGUGAAGCGGGAAGAGCUCAAAUUUGAAAUCUUCAAGGUUCUACCUUGACGAAUUGUAGUUUAUAGAAGUGUUUUCUGUUAGUGGAGUGGCAAAAGUUCUUUGGAAUAGGACAUCAUAGAGGGUGAGAAUCCCGUAUUUGGUCAUUCCUCCUAGCGUUGUGAUACACUUUCAACGAGUCGGAUUGUUUGGGAAUGCAGUCCAAAAUGGGUGGUAAAUUUCAUCUAAAGCUAAAUAUUGGCGAGAGACCGAUAGCGAACAAGUACCGUGAGGGAAAGAUGAAAAGAACUUUGAAAAGAGAGUUAAACAGUACGUGAAAUUGUCAAAAGGGAAGCGUUUGACACCAGUGUUGUUUUUUCCGAAAAUCAAUUACGAAUGUUUUAUUUUUGAGGAGUUAUGACUUCAUCGGCUUGCUCCUUUCUUUAUGAAACUUUCUUAAUGCACUUUUCGGUUAACAAGUCAACAUCAAUUUCUUUUGUUGUAAAAGGGUAUGAGGAAGGUGGCUUUCUUUUCGGAGAAAGUGUUUAUAGCCUUGUGCCUCUGCAAUCGGAGAGAUUGAGGUCUGCAGCGUAGAUCCUUCGGGGUUAGAUACGUUUGUGCUAAGUUAUAGCUUUUCAUAGACAACUUGUUGACUAUGUUUAGUCUUGUAGCUUACUCGCUUACGCUAUUUUACCUACGCUUAGGAUGUUGACGAGACUGUCGAUCUC